AAAUGCUUUCAGCCAUGUCUGGUGUCAGAGGCAGGAGCUCCCACACUUAUGUGCUGCCUGGCUCCUCACCAAGACAGGUGCUAGACUAUCUCUGAGACUAUCUUUUCCCUUGAGGCAGCUGAGAGCUGGAGCAGCUUCAGAUGCCUCCAGAUCCUGGGCCCUUGAACUUCAACUCGAACUUGGCUCUAAAGUGUCGCCCUCAGCAAGAGUCAACGCAAUUGGGCCCUGGCUCCGUGAGGUGGACAGGGGCCUUGCUCGCUCCUUCUUCCCCAGCCCUGCCCCAUGGGGGAGAGAGAGAGGUCGUCAGGUGAGACGGAGUUUGUUUCAGCAAUGUGUUUAUGAGUCCCAAGAACUUAGGAUAAAGUUUCUGAAAUACUAGCCUGAGGAUGUCCCUCUUUGAGAAAAAGGGAAAAAGGACACCGCGGUUACCCCAGCUUUGUUAUUCAUGUAACAACGGCAGGGCAUUUGAGUUCUUUCUGUUUUCAUCCUACUUCCACUCCCACAUCUAAUCACUAACAUUUCUCUUGUUUUGCUGUUUGUUGCUUCCUUUCAUUCUCCCCAUCUGAGGUGGGUAGAAUUGUGUCCCUCCAAAAAAUGAUAUGUCCAAGUCCUAGGCCCCUGGUCCCUGUGAUUGCAGCCCUAUUUGGAAAUAGGGUCUUUGCAGAUGCAAAUGCAAUUAAAUCAAGAGGAGGGCCUGAGGGAUUCUGGCGGGCCCUAAUCCAAUAGGACAGGGGUCCUUAUGAGAAGAGGGACAUCCGGCCGGGCGCGGUAGCUCACGCCUAUAAUCCCAGCACUUUGAGAGGCCGAGGUGGGCGGAUCACCUGAGAUCAGGAGUUCGAGACCAGCCUGCCCAACGUGGUGAAACCCCGCCUCUACUAAAAAUACAACAAAUUAGCUGGGCGUGGUGGUGGGCACCUGUAAUCCCAGCUGCUCAGGAGGCUGAGGCAGGAGAAUCCAUUAGAACCCGGGAGGCGGAGGUUGCAGUGAGCCAAGAUCGUGCCACUGCACUCCAGCCUGGGCAACAAGAGCGAAACUGCACCUCAAAAAAAAAAAAAAACAAAAAAGAAGGAGAAGAAGGACAUCUUGUCACAGAGGCACAUACAAAAUGUCAUGUGCCAUUGAGGCAGAGAUUGCAGUGCUGUAUCUGCAAGCCAAGAAAUGCCGAGGGCUGCUGGCAGCCACCAGAGGUCGAAGGAGGCAAAGAAGGCUUCUCCCCACCCCAGGCUUCAGAGGGCUCUGCUGAUGCCUUCGUUUCUGAUUUCUGCCCUCCAGAAAGAAGUAAAGUGGCUGGGCGUGCUGGCUCACGCCUGUAAUCCUAGCAUUUUGGGAGGCCGAGGUGAGCAGAUCAUGAGGUCAAGAGAUCGAGACCAUCCUGGCCAACGUGGCGAAACCCCGUCUCUACUAAAAAUACAAAAAUUAGCCGGGUGUGGUGGUGCACACCUGUAAUCCCAGCUACUUGGAAGCUGAGACAGGAGAAUCACUUGAACUCGGGAGGCAGAGGUUGCGGUGAGCCGAGAUUGUGCCUCUGCACUGCAGCCUGGGCAACAGAGCAAGACUCAGUCUCAAAAAAAAAAAAAAAAAGUAAAAAUCAAAGUUGUAUAAAAAGGGCCAGGCGCGGUGGCUCACGCCUGUAAUCCCAGCACUUUGGGAGGCCGAGGCGAGUGGAUCACGAGGUCAAGAGAUCAAGGUUGUAGUGAGUCGACGUCGCACUCCACUCCAAGCACCACUGCACUCCAGCCUGGCGACACAGCGAGAUUCCAUCUCAAAUAAAUAAAUAAAUAAAGUUAGAUUUAUAAAGUCGGGUCCAAAGAUUGAUUCCACAGAUUUGGGAUGAGCCCCUGAGAAAGCUGCAUUUUCAACUAAUCCAUGCCCCAGCCAAUCCUAAGGCAAGCUAAUGUCCAAGAACCAUUCUCACUGCCUACUACUGUCUGGCAGGGGCUGGGAUAUCAUGGGAGACAAAAAGGCACAGUUCCUAUUCUCAAAGAACUUCUAUUUCAGUGCAAACCACUGUUUAAAAAAGUAAAAAUCGGCCGGGCAUGGUGGCUCAUGCCUGUAAUCCCAGCACUUCAAGAGGCCAAGGCGGGCAAAUCACCUGAGGUCAAGAGUUCGAGACCAGCCUGGCCAACAUGGCGAAACCCUGUCUCUACUAAAUACAAAAAUUAGCUGGGCAUGGUGGCGGGCACCUGUAGUCCCAGCUACUUGGGAGGCUGAGACAGGAGAAUCACUUGAACCUGGGAGGUGGAGGUUGCAGUGAGCCGAGAUCACACCACUACACUCCAGCCUGGGUGACAGAGCAAGACUCUGUCUCAAAAAAAAAAAAAACAAAGUUGUAUAAAAAGGUGAAAGCCACCUGUGUUAGGGUAUACGUUAAGCUGCUAAGAGACCUCAAAAUACAGUGACUCUAACAAAUUAGAAACGUAUUCCUCUCUCCCUUAACAUCGCAGAGAUGGCUGCUAGUCCAAGAAGGCAGGAGAUUCGGCUCCACGUGGUCACCCAGGGACCCAGGGACCCCACCUCCUGCUGCUCCACCAUCCCCAGGGACAGAGCUGGCUUCUCGAACCCUGUCCACGUUCCAGCUCAAAGGGAGUGGGAAAUAGAGGUGGACAACCAGCUUCCCUUCUAACCAUCUGGCCUGGAAGUGUUCCCGUCACAUCAUCCACCUGUAUCUUAUAGGCGAGAACAUAGUCUCGAGGUCACACCUAGCUUCAGUGGAAGCUGGAAAACAUCACCUCUGGCUGGGUGACAUAUGCCCAUCUGGAAUUUUAGGGACUCUAAAACUAAAAAGAAAAGAGGAAUG
rnacentral:lncRNA from 1 species